UACGGAGGAUCCAAGCGUUAUCCGGAAUCAUUGGGUUUAAAGGGUCCGUAGGCGGUUUGGUAAGUCAGUGGUGAGAGCCCAUCGCUCAACGGUGGAACGGGCCCAUUGAUACUGCCAGACUUGAAUUAUUAGGAAGUAACUAGAAUAUGUAGUGUAGCGGUGAAAUGCUAGAGAUUACAUGGAAUACCAAUUGCGGAGGCAGGUUACUACUAAAUGGAUUUGACGCUGAUGGACGAAAGCGUGGGUAGCGAACAGG
rnacentral:rRNA from 1 species